rnacentral:misc_RNA from 1 species
ACAGUAUACACAGUAUAUAUAGAAAAAUUUUAGAGAAAACACUUGCUAAUAAAUUGUUUUCAAUGGAAAAAUAAUUGUGUUUUUUGUAAGAAUUAAUGUGAUUUGGCAUGAAAGUGAGUGAUUCUAUACUGUUCUGUGGGCUUGGUGCUGAAAUUAGAUGGACUGUACUCAAUUCCAGGGCUUCUGCAGUUCAACAGAAAUUUGAAUCAUGAUGUUAUUUAUUUAAAUAUGAAGAGGACGGUAAACACAGUAUAUGUAGAAAAAUUCUGGAGAA